rnacentral:tRNA from 2 species
GGCCCGGUAGCUCAGUUGGUAGAGCACUCGAUUGAAGCUCGAGGUGUCAACAGUUCGAAUCUGUUCUGGGCCACCA